GUCCACGCCGUAAACGAUGUGUGCUAGACGUCGGGCAGCUUGCUGUUCGGUGUCGCAGCUAACGCACUAAGCACACCGCCUGGGGAGUACGGCCGCAAGGUUAAAACUCAAAGGAAUUGACGGGGGCCCGCACAAGCGGUGGAGCAUGUGGUUUAAUUCGAUGCAACGCGAAGAACCUUACCAGCUCUUGACAUGUCCGUCGCGGAACCCAGAGACGGGUUCCUUCAGUUCGGCUGGACGGAACACAGGUGCUGCAUGGCUGUCGU
rnacentral:rRNA from 1 species